rnacentral:rRNA from 1 species
UACGUAGGGGGCAAGCGUUGUCCGGAAUUACUGGGCGUAAAGCGCGUGUAGGCGGGACGACAAGUCCGGCGUGAAAGGCUCGGGCUCAACCCGGAGACGGCCGUUGGAACUGUCGUUCUUGAGGGUCGAAGAGGAGAGUGGAAUUCCGUGGUGUAGCGGUGAAAUGCGUAGAGAUCAGGAGGAACACCCAUGGCGAAGGCAGCUCUCUGGUCGACCUCUGACGCUGAGACGCGAAAGCGUGGGGAGCGAACGGG